GUGGUGGCGCAACGGUAGCGCAGUGGACUCCAGACAUAAUUUAUCCAAAGGUUAUCGGUUCAAAUCCGGUUCAU
rnacentral:tRNA from 1 species